AUGUCCAUCCUGCGGGAUCAGACACGGCUGGCUGGCCCCACGGGUCAGCGUGUUAUCCCUGACACAGGCCCUUCCCCUCCCCACGGGCCGAGCACCGCGGGCGCCCGGGUCUCACGCCUCCCCUCUCGGGUUACUUCCUCUCCCCUUCUCCACUGGACCUGUGUCUCCCCGCUGAGGGCAGCACCCGAGGACCGCAGCGCAGGGCUGGAGCGGCCGGGCCAGGCCGGGCCGGGCGGGGCCGCCUUUGCGGAGGCGGUUUUCAGGGUUUUCCUGGUGCUGGAACUUCUGCGGUCCCGCUGUCAGUGGGCGGGCUCGCGGCCAGUGCCUUCUCCCUUAGUGUCUCCUGCUAGAAGUGGACCACCGCUUGCUUCUGUCCCGGAGGGGCUGCCCUUGUCUCACACCAGGCCCGUCUCGUUGUCUUGCCACCCCCUCCACAGCCCAGGCCACACUGGCUGUCUCACUGGCUGGCGGGACAAGUGCACUGGCAGGCGCUCCUCCCUGGGGGUUGGCUCCUGCCCAGGGGGCCAACAGUGCAAAUCACAGGCCACAAGAUUGCUGGAUCCCAGUUCUGCUCAAAGCUAUUUUAGACCUCACAGCCCCCCUUCCUCUCUAGGCUCUUCCUGUAACCCAGCCGGGCCGGGGGUCUCUGAGGCUGAGCGGGUUGGGCCAGGGUCAUGGGGCAGGGGCUCAGGCAGUGUUGCGAGCCUGGCUGUCCCCACUGGCCCACCCUCUGCAGCACUCCUGGGGCCCUGCCCAGGCAGCGCAGCUCCCAACCACAACACCCUCUGGGGUUUGGCCCGCAGAGCCAGGGCGGAUGCCCCCCAAAUAGCCCUGGCAGACUCCUCCAUGACCCGCCCACACCCCGGGCAGGCCUGCCAUCCCCCUCCCCAGCCCCUGCCCUCCUCCUGCCCACGGGGCACAGCCCAGGGGCUAUAAAGAGUGCUGGAGGCUGGAAGGGCAGACCAGCCAAGUCCUGAGCAGCAGCCGACCCACGGACGGACGGACGGACGCACAGAGCGACAGCAUGAGGGCCCUCACUCUUGUCGCCCUGCUGGCCCUGGCCGCACUCUGCCUCGCUGGCCAGGCAGGUGAGCGUCCCCACCCCUACCCAGGCGGCACUCCAGGAGGGGCUGCCUGGGGGAGACUCGCGGCGCCACCUCUGCUCACCCCUUCUGCUGGCAGACCCUGCCGCGGGCUCAGUCUGUCCCCAGUCCGACCUCGCCGAGGGAGAGGAGGGAAUAGCAGGGGGCCCGAGGGCUGAGCAGGGCUGACCAGCUCCUUUCCUUUGCAGAGGCAAAGCCCAGCGGUGCAGAGUCUGGCAGAGGCUCAGCCUUCGUGUCCAAGAGGGAGGGCAGCGAGGUGGUGAAGCGAGCCCGGCGCCAACUGAUCGACGGGCAGGGGUGAGAGCAGGCGGCGCGGGGAGCGGGGCAGGCUCACUGCUCGGGUGGGACACUCGGGGACGGGGGCUGGGCACGUUGCGGUGGGGGGAGCUGAUGCCACUGUCGGGCUUCCCAGAGCUCCGGCUCCUUACCCGGAUCCCCUGGAGCCCAAGAGGGAGGUGUGCGAGCUCAACCCGGACUGCGACGAGCUGGCCGACCAGGUGGGCCUGCAGGACGCCUACCAGCGCUUCUACGGGCCCGUCUAGGGCGUCUGCCCGCAGGCCGGCCCGGCUCUCCAGCUGCUCCCAAUAAACUCCAGAAGAGGAA